rnacentral:rRNA from 1 species
UACGUAGGGGGCAAGCGUUGUCCGGAAUCAUUGGGCGUAAAGAGCGCGUAGGCGGCCCGAUAAGUCCGCUGUGAAAGUCAAGGGCUCAACCCUUGAAUGCCGGUGGAUACUGUCGGGCUAGAGUCCGGAAGAGGCGAGUGGAAUUCCUGGUGUAGCGGUGAAAUGCGCAGAUAUCAGGAGGAACACCAAUGGCGAAGGCAGCUCGCUGGGACGUUACUGACGCUGAGACGCGAAAGCGUGGGGAGCAAACAGG